rnacentral:rRNA from 1 species
CCUACGGGAGGCAGCAGUGAGGAAUAUUGGUCAAUGGGCGCGAGCCUGAACCAGCCAAGUCGCGUGAGGGAGGACGGCCCUACGGGUUGUAAACCUCUUUUGCCGGGGAGCAACGGGCGUCACGUGUGGUGCCACUGAGAGUACCCGGAGAAAAAGCAUCGGCUAACCCCGUGCCAGCAGCCGGGGUUAUACGGGGGAUGCUAGGUUUAUCCGGAUUUCUUGGGUUGAGAGGGUGCGUAGGUGGAUUGUUAAGUCAGGGGUCAAAUUGGGGGGCCCAACCCCUUCCCGCCAUUGAAACUGGCGCUCUUGAGUGGAAGAGAGGUAUGCGGAAUGCGUGGUGUAGCGGUGAAAUGCAUAGAUAUCACGCAGAACCCCGAUUGCGAAGGCAGCAUGCCGGCUUCCGACUGACGCUGAAGCACGAAAGCGUGGGGAUCGAACAGGAUUAGAUACCCGGGUAGUC